CUCCGACUGCAUAUCGUAGUCAAACGGCCACAUGGUCUCGACUUGCUUCCUAACCUUCUCUCCCCGCCUUCAGCUUUAAUGACAUUCACAUUACUUAUUAAGAAACAAAGCUACACAUUUACCGACCAAUAGGAGUAGUUGGGAUGAGAGGCUUUUUGUUGCCAGUGGAAACAGAGGGUGGAGCCAGCAUGCCUGUUUUCUGUAGCUGCUUCAGCUUGGCAGCCGCAGUUGCGAUCGAGACGUUACAAGCUGUGUGAUUUGCGAAUGGAAUAACAGGAUUGUAGUGGACCCUAUAAAAAGACAAACAGUGCGACCAAAAUAUAAAUAAACUAUCAGCGCUCUUAUGAAUAAAUGUUCAUAUUACCUGCGUAGAAAGAAUUGUUAAAAGAAGCAGCACAUUACAGGAAUAUCACUUGUGCAAUUUAAGUGGUAUUUACUCAUCUUUUCAUCUUUUUCGGAUUAAAACAAUCUUAUAUAUUGUUAAUGGAUAGCGAGAAGUACUUGCCGGAGCUGAUGGCGGAGAAGGACUCUCUGGACCCAUCCUUCCUUCACGCUUUGCGUUUGGUCAAUCAAGAGAUUGAGAAACUACAGAAGGAUGAAGAAAAGGAAGAUGAAAAGUUUAUUGAUGUGGUAAUCAACAAGAACAUGAAGCUGGGACAGAAAGUCUUAAUUCCUGUCAAACAGUUCCCCAAAUUCAAUUUUGUUGGGAAACUUCUUGGUCCACGUGGAAAUUCUUUAAAAAGGCUCCAAGAGGAUACUCUUACAAAAAUGUCCAUUUUAGGAAAGGGUUCUAUGAGAGAUAAAGAAAAAGAGGAAGAACUCAGAAAAAGCGGUGAAGCUAAAUAUCAGCAUCUCAAUGAAGACCUCCAUGUUCUCAUUGAAGUCUUUGCUCCUCCUGCUGAAGCUUAUGCCAGAAUGGGACAUGCUCUGGACGAGAUAAAAAAAUUCCUGAUUCCUGAUUACAAUGAUGAAAUCAGACAAGCACAACUUCAAGAGCUGACAUAUCUAAAUGGAGGGUCUGAGGAAUCGGAAGCACCAGCUGUGAGAGGAAAACCAGUUGCAAGAAGCAGAGGAACUACAGGGCUUGCCAGGGGCCGAGGAGGGGUCCCAUCACCCCAAGCAGGUGUGCCCCGUGGAGCUCCAGCCCCCAGAGGCUCCUUACCUGGCCGAUUACCAGCAACCCGGACACGUGGUAUUCCUGCUCCGAGAGCUCGAGGUGUGCCACCUCCAGUCGGAUUCAGACAUCCCCCGCCUCCAGCCCAUGAGACCUAUGGAGAAUAUGACUACGGUGAUGGCUAUGGAGCAGCCUAUGAUGAUGAAGGGUUUGACUCUUAUGACAACAGUUAUGGUGAUCAGGUAGAAAGUGCCAGUGAUUAUUAUGAUUAUGGGCAUGGCAUCAGUGAAGAUUUGUAUGAUUCUUAUGGCCAAGAAGAAUGGACUAACAAUCGGCACAAGGCUCCUCCAGCAAGGAUAACAAAAGGAGUUUACAGAGAGCAGCCAUACUCCAGAUACUGAACUCUGAGAUUAACUCUCCCGACCAAGUCCCAUAUGCUGUUCAAAGUAAUGGGUUUUUCUAUGAACAAUCCCUCAUUUUUAUUACAAACAUAAACACAAACAAUGUUUUGAACUGCUUAAGAACGAGUCUGAAGUGAUGGAUUGAAUUUAAGUAUGGAGCCACCCAAGCUAUCGAUGAGACAUCUAAUAAAACACACUUUUCAAGGAAUAAAAUGAACCAAAUGAUGCUUUGAGACAAGAAGAAUUUUGCCCCUUUUGUAAAAUUGAAGUAGUGUUUAAAUGACAGAAUCAAAACAAAGUGGCCUCCCAAAGGCAUGUGGAUACCAAAAAAAUAAUCUCCCUGCUGUAUUAGAAAGAGAAGAUAUUCUGCACACUGUGCUCAAACACUGAUCAUUUUCCUCCUCACAAGCAUUUAUAUGAAUGAAUUACUGAAAUACGUGGGAGUCUGCGGUUUGAAAUGACAAGAUAACUAAUCAAGGAAUCUUGAGAAAGACUUCAAUGAUGAGACAUUUAUAUCCUUAAGACCAUUCUGGACACAAAUUCUCUGGAAGGAUUAAUAAAGCAGAUGCCCACACCCUUCUAAGAAGAACAUUUGUUUUUCAUCAGAACUCCCCAAUACCUGAAAGUGCCACAAAAGGACUUCUGGCUACUUUGUAGGACUGGUUACUAUUGAAAGACAAUAAGAUUUUCCAGGGCAUUUUUAAAAAAGUGUGGCACUCUAGUUAUUUGAGUCCAUAAAUUACAGUAAAUAAUUGUAAUUGUGGAGUUAAUAAUUCAAUGAAAAGAACUUUUGGAAGCUGCAUAUUAAGAAAAGAUAUACGGUAUGCUUUUUGGGACUUAGUUCAUACAUUAUAAAUCCAACAGAGACAAAGAGGCUAAGAAUCAGCAUGAGGUUCAAUUCAUUUUAGUUUGAGCUUUGUCACAUUCAGUAAGGUCCAAGACUCUGAACAAACCAGACGAGUGCACUAACACUGCUGUAUAAAACAUUAAAUGUAUAGUUUGAUAGUUUUUUUUAUACUGUAUAUACAACACGAC